rnacentral:rRNA from 1 species
AGUGAACGCUGGCGGUAGGCCUAACACAUGCAAGUCGAACGGCAGCACAGUAAGAGCUGGCUCUUACGGGUGGCGAGUGGCGGACGGGUGCGGAAUACAUCGGAAUCUACAUUUUCGUGGGGGAUAACGCAGGGAAACUUACGCUAAUACCGCAUACGACCUACGGGUGAAAGCAGGGGAUCUUCGGACCUUGCGCGAUUGAAUGAGCCGAUGUCGGAUUAGCUAGUUGGCGGGGUAAAGGCGCACCAAGGGGACGAUCCGUAGCUGGUCUGAGAGGAUGAUCAGGCACAUUGGAUCUGAGACACGUCCCCGACUCCUACAGUGAGCAGCAGUGGGGAAUAUUGCACAAUGGGCGAGAGCCUGAUCCAGCCCUACCGGGUGGGUGAAGAAGGCCUUAGGCUUGUAAAGUCCUUUUGUUGGGAAAGAAAAGAAGCAGGUUAAUACCCCGCUGUUCUGACGGUACCCAAAGAAUAAGCACCGGCUAACUUCGUG